rfam:Triticum aestivum genome assembly, contig: Triticum_aestivum_CS42_TGACv1_scaffold_376227_5AL
GUUAUACUCCCUCCGUCCGGAAAUACUUGUCGGAGGAAUGGAUGCAUAUAGACAUAUCUUAGUUCUAGAGACAUUUAUUUUUAUCCAUUUCUUCGAUAAGUAUUUUCGGACGGAGGGAGUACUAA